UACAGAGGUCUCAAGCGUUGUUCGGAUUCAUUGGGCGUAAAGGGUGCGUAGGCGGCGCGGUAAGUCGGGUGUGAAAUCUCGGGGCUUAACUCCGAAACUGCAUUCCAUACUGCGGUGCUCGAGGACUGGAGAGGAGACUGGAAUUCAUGGUGUAGCAGUGAAAUGCGUAGAGAUCAUGAGGAAGACCAGUGGCGAAGGCGGGUCUCUGGACAAUUCCUGACACUGAGGCACGAAGGCCAGGGGAGCAAACGGG
rnacentral:rRNA from 1 species